rnacentral:rRNA from 1 species
AUAACGACUCUCGGCAACGGAUAUCUCGGCUCUCGCAUCGAUGAAGAACGUAGCGAAAUGCGAUACUUGGUGUGAAUUGCAGAAUCCCGUGAACCAUCGAGUCUUUGAACGCAAGUUGCGCCCUAAGCCAUUUGGNCGAGGGCACGUCUGCCUGGGCGUCAAUC